CUUCGAUGAGCACGUGGUCAUGAAUACCGAAAUGCGACAUCGCCUCGUAGGGGACGGGUUCUACCCAAUACGUAUAGGUGACCGUCGUAGACUUAUCUCCAAACCCGUGAUCAAGCGAGGGAGAGAGGCAGAAAAAAAAAAAACAGAUGUGCAACGUACCCCCUGGAAGGAAGCCACCCCAGGCAGCAAGGAAGAAGGCAGUCUCGGUUUCCACAUUCGGUAGGAACACAACAUGGAGGUGGAACGUCACAAGGACUUAUGACCAUCUCUUGAAGUGGCAGAAGAACGACGUCGUAUAGUACAAACCUGGUUCAUCAGAAGAGAGUUUCUCGUGUAUAAGGCAGCUAGACUUCGCAGGACCAGCCUCAAUUGUGAAGGUUAGCCCAUGUCUACGUGACAACUGGAGCAGCAGUCCCCGGCCCGCAGCGAAUUACCACAAACUGCGCAAACCUCGACGACCAACAUUCGAGCUCGCCUCACCUACAUCAAAAUUUCAACGGAAAGCUGGUCAGAGACGCCUCAUAAGUUGCCAUCAACGACUUCGUUCGUAUCAUUCAUCACGGAAACCUCGCCGCCGUACAAGCAGGCAGACCCUUCCCAGCGGACGCCUAGCGGGAGACCCCGUGUUGCAAAUGCUUUAACGACCAGUCAGCUUUCACGUACCCCCUGGUGGCCCAUUCAGGAGCAGGAGGCGGGUCUUUUCCAACGACCCUUCUAGCAUUUUGCCCUCGCCGACGGACUCACGCACCCUCUACGCAUCUCCACCCUUCAUCCUCCAUGCGUCUUCUUUUUUCUUUUUUUGUCUUUGGGUCUAUGGUAGUGACGACGCCCACUUCUGGGUGGCCAACAACGGCGAACCGAUUCUAUCAUUACCCCCCCCCCCCUUAAAAUGUUGUUCAGCAUGCAAUUGUCUGUGCAUGCAUACUUUCAGGAGGCAGCACUUGAAACAUAGCUCACCAAAAAAAAAAGUGCAUCUUUGGUCAUUGUGCCAAACGCAUUUAAAUGCGGUAACUUUAUAUAGGGUUACCGUUGGCGACAAUUUUUGGUGACGCGGUCCUACGGACGGGCCAGUCCACCGUGGGUGCGCAGUUAUCGCUUUAAAACUAGACAGGUAUGUAACCUGCUCUUCUCGCCCCGAAUGACCUUCCCCGUAAACCACGUGCGGGUUUGCGCUCCGUAUAAGCAGUUUGAACUAACCCGGGAUUUGGUGUUGGCACUUCCACACCUUGCGCUGGUAUGCAACACGUAUGAUAUGCUGGUUUGUAUGCGUAACCAUAUCGCGUGAACGGAGCCUUCGAUGUAGGCUUUAUGUUAGUCAAUUGGAAGAUGGUCGAAAAAUGCCUUCCGCACGCAAAAAAAAAAGUUUAUUUGUGCGUCAGCAUGCGAAAUAACACUGAAAAGGAUGGCACGGACAACAAAGUUAUGGGCGCAAAAACGUAAACUAUCUACCAAUAUAAUUUACGAGCUAAUAAUACCCCAAUUUCCCUUCACCUCACUGCCACAUCGUAAAUACCACGCGAGACCGUUAUCCGACUUAAUCGUUAGAUUAGCAUAAUCAAACAGCUCAACCAGCUCUGGCUCUCCACGAAAUAUGCUUGUGAACUCUAGCUACCGGAACACCACCAGAAGGAAAUAGGGAGUACAUCGUGCCAUCUUCCAAAAGGCUCCAAUGUGUUGGGGUUAUACAUCCAGCUUCCACCUGCAAUUUUUCAGCGAUGAGUUCUCUGUCGACGAAUUUCUUCCACUUGAGACUACGCAGCGCUAACACAAUGUCCUUUAACUAUUUAUUAUGGAUUACUGAUGAUAAAGUUUUCACCAGAAGGAGCCUCAUU